rnacentral:lncRNA from 1 species
GUUUCAUUUUAGGAAAUGUCUUCAGAUACCAUAUCCUCUUCUAACUCAACAGAGAAGUAACCUAAGUGGUAAACUUAUUUAAUUUGAGCAUUGUUGCCUUUAAGCCACGAUGUAUCCAAAUUUAACAUAAUACAUCCAUCUUCAUCAAAAGGCGAAAUAAGCUUGUCUUGAGGGCCACUUAAACUCAACAGUAUGAUUAAUAUCACUUUUGCAUAAUUAGAGGAAUAACUCCUUGUUGUAUUUUCGAGUAAAUAUCAUAUGAUUCCAUAGCUAUGUGUUCAUUUUGAAGGACACCCUUGGUUCCACUAUCUUUAACACCUCCUCAAUCAAAAGAUUAUCACCUAUAUCAUAGAUAGAGGAAAAAUGAUCCAUGGCUAGUGAGCAAAUUUGAGUAGAUUUAGUCACCCAGUGACCCUCAUUUAAUCUUAU